AGGGGACCUUCGGGCCUUUCGCUAACAGAUGAGCCUGCGUUGGAUUAGCUAGUUGGUGGGGUAAGGGCCCACCAAGGCGACGAUCCAUAGCUGGUCUGAGAGGACGAUCAGCCACACUGGGACUGAGACACGGCCCAGACUCCUACGGGAGGCAGCAGUGGGGAAUAUUGGACAAUGGGCGAAAGCCUGAUCCAGCAAUACCGCGUGUGUGAAGAAGGCCUUAGGGUUGUAAAGCACUUUCAAUUGGGAGGAAAACCUGCCGGCCAAUACCCGGUAGCUUGACAUUACCUUUAGAAGAAGCACCGGCUAACUCCGUGCCAGCAGCCGCGGUAAUACGGAGGGUGCGAGCGUUAAUCGGAAUUACUGGGCGUAAAGAGUGCGUAGGCGGCACGUUAAGUCAGAUGUGAAAGCCCUGGGCUCAACCUGGGAACUGCAUUUGAAACUGGCGAGCUAGAGUUGAGUAGAGGUAAGUGGAAUUUCAGGUGUAGCGGUGAAAUGCGUAGAUAUCUGAAGGAACACCAGUGGCGAAGGCGACUUACUGGACUCAAACUGACGCUGAGGUACGAAAGCGUGGGUAGCAAACAGGAUUAGAUACCCUGGUAGUCCACGCCGUAAACGAUGUCAACUAGC
rnacentral:rRNA from 1 species